UAUUUCCCACCUUUUAUCAGCCAUUUAUUUAAUCAAGUGCACCUGUCAAGUAGACAUGAAAAAUGAAAGAGCCAAUGAAUCACGGCUCUCCUCAGCAAAAACACUGCGGACGGGCACUGCUACGGACUCAUUCUCCACCAUCUCUAACUUCAACCUCAAGGUCACGCCAAUAAUCAUUCAAUUAUGUGGUCUAAAGAACAGGCAGAUGCUUCCUCUAUUCGUGGCAACAAAAAAGCUACAACCUCAAUCAUCUGUCAACUCCCUGAAAGACUUUUGUUUACUUUCCUCGCUGAAAAUCCUUGACACGGUGGACAGGUGAAGACACAGAUGAACUGCUGGAUGCCACUAAACAUUUAUGAACAGGUUUAACGUGCAUUACACUGUUUUAUUCAAAAGCCAUAAUGGAGAUUAAAUAUUUAAGGG
ensembl:lncRNA